UCUCAUUAUCGAUACGAUUCUAGAGCGGAUUCUGGACCGUGGCCUAAGACAAUAAGUUCAAGUUGAUGUUUCUGAUGGAGAUGAUUUGUAAGGAAAGAUCUUUUUCUGAAUAAUGUCUGUUACGUUGCCUUUUCGUCCUAAAGAUGAACUAAACAUGCAUGAUGGAUUGAUGCUAAAUGAGCAUAAAAGUGUUUGUAAAUGAAGGAGAAAACAAGAGCCCGGAGUGCCAGGACCUAACAACUGCCAAAGCUUGAAAUUUCUUAUGUGAUAUCAACACUAUUCAGUAUUUCAUUUGGAACAGAAAAAAUCUGCAGACUGAGAUACUUGUACUGAGGAAAUACCUGCUGUUGAAGGAAAAACCCAAGACUUGUUUAGGUAGAAACAACAAUAUGCAGAUAGUUCAAAUUGCUGCAUCUAUUGGAGCACCCAUCGUCGUCAGGAAUUUUUCUUGAAUUUCCAGCAUUUCAAAAAAUGCACCUUGCAGGCAUGGAUUGAUUGUUGUAGCUUAACACAUGUUACAAGAUUAUUUAACCCUGAUGAGAAGUCACAAGAUGCAGUGAAUGACACUUGGGACCAAUGAGGAGUGAGGGUUCUUUAGUGUGCCAAUAUCUGCUGUUCCAACCUUUACUCUCUCAACCAAAAGACCUCCAACUUUACAGCACCAGAAUAUAUGAUUAGCCACUGGGGAAAAUUUUUACAAACUUUUCAUAUGUAACAAUAUUGCAAGUUUAUAGUGUUGUUCUACAUGUAAACAGCAUGUACAUCAUUUUUUAGAUAUACAGAUGUGAUGAAAUAAUUAGGAACUCUAGUUAGUGUACGGUUAGUUUUACCCCACAUGUAUAUAUGUUAUAUCUCAUAAAAAAACUAGUUAAAAAAAUCAAAGUCUGUAUAUAAGGUAACAGCUAAUACAUGUAGCUAUUUAAAAUGACUGAGUGAAAUCAUUAUAAACAAACAUAUACAAUUAAAAUAUUUUUGUAUAUUAAAUUUCAUCAAUACAUGUAUUUGAUACCGAAUGGUACUGUUUGAUACUCCAUAGUUAAAUCUAUUAUACCUGUCAUCAUUUUGUCCUGAAAUGUGAAAUACUUUAUUACUAAAGUAUUUUACCUGUGUGUGAA